rnacentral:lncRNA from 1 species
AUUACAAUGUAAUAUUGAAUUUAUACAUAACAUAUUAUAUAUUAUAUUAAGUAUAUAAUAAAUAUAUGCUUGAAUAUAAAAUGGACGCGUCACCCACCGUGCAGUGUCAAAUGCAAGUUAUAAAUAUUUAUAAUAUUAGAAAGAAAACAAAAAGAAAUUCUAUUAUACGUCUUUAGACGGAGUCUUGACGAAAUUGUUAUCCCAGAGAUGAAAAAAAAAAAAACAAAGUAAUAUUGAAUAAAAAUGAAUUAAACUUGAAAAUAAAAUAAUACAAAUUGAGUGAAGUUUAAUGAUGAUUAUUUGAAUUUUAUUAUCGAUCGAUUGAUUUAUAAUAUGCGACGAAGGUGGUGCUAUAUAAAUAAUAAUAAUAAUAAUGAUAGUAAUAAUAAUUAUAAUUGUAACGUUACAAUAUAUACUGAUCGGUCGGUGACACGAUUCCACCCACCCUCCCCUUAACAUUAUCUAUGUAUAUAAAUUAAAUCAAUAUAUAGAUAUAGAUAUAUAUAUAGACACAUACGCAUAAUUUAGAUAUCGAUUAUCCAUGAUAUAAUUUAACAUUACUACAUACAUUAUCCCUGAAAUAUUUGAUAAAAAGUGAAAAACGAAGAAACAAACAAAAAAAAAAACCAACAAACACACCGUAUAAAUAUACAGUUAAAAUAGCGUUUUAUUAAAUGUUGUGAAAAAGUCUUUGUACAAUGUUGGUGUCGUAUCCGUUGUCGUUUGUGUUGUCGUCUAAUUAAUUUGUCUUACAAUUAGUACAAAUUUAUGCGUUUUGCAAGUGUUUUAUUAAUCAUUUCUUAAUUUAAUUUCAGUGACAAAAUAAUAUCGCUUCAAAGCUAAUAUAGUAUGUAGCGAAAUAUGCGGACUAUACAAUAACAAAAUUCAACUGCAGUAUGACAGUAUAUUGCAGAUUUACGCUCUUGACGUUCGGCGAAGAAGAAACUUAUUGAUAAUUGAUCAAUUGCGAGAUAGAUAUAAUAUCACUCACAUCUAUAUAAUUGAAUACGUAUAUACGAAAACUUGUCGACAAAAUUGAGGUCUCCCAUUUUGUCACAUAUCUUUAUAAUUGAUACGAUAACAUCCUAUACAUCCUUUUGUAAAGUGAUAAGAAAACUGCAACAAUUUGCGCUGAAAAAGAGAGAAAAAAACAUGAGAAAAAAGAAAGAAACGUUGGUGAAAGCGUUUCCCUCUCUUGAGGUCGUCCAGGCAAGGCACGACGCGCAACGGCGGCCAUUUUGUAACGCACCCAACAGAUGGUAGGUAUAUCAACGCGGAUAAUAUACGAAACUAGCUUUGUAUAAUAGUAACUUCACAGGCUGAACUUUGAAUUAACAUUUGCAACAAAACGUUGAAGUUCAGAAAACGAGAAGAAUAAAAAAAAAUAAAUAAAUAAACAAGCUCCAGAUAGAAACAUGCUGGACGUGUUGGUAUAGUGUGACACUGGAGUUUAUGUCGGCGUCGAGGGACGUUGGGAGGUCGAAUACGAGGAAAGGAAGAACUGAGGAGAGGGAGUGAAGGAGGGAAUGGCGUCUACCAUCAUCACCAUCACGUCUAGUAGCAUAACCAAGACCACGAAAGUGGAAGGUUUGAAGCUCGGUAAAUCAGUUGUAUUCCAUCAAAAAUCAUCCAGUUAUACUUAAAACCCAAGACUCGCGGUAAUUGUAACAUCGAUCAUACUUUCCGGCGACAUGAAUUACAUUGUUUGACAAAAAGUAAUAAGAAAAAAAAAAAUAAAUAAGUGAAACGUGCAUAUUAAA